GAAAUUAGAACCGCUAUACAGGUCGAAGUGUAUUUUCAUGCUUCAGUUUCAUGAGUAAGGUGGUGUUUGUUUUUUUACUUAAUUCUAAAUAGAACCUUAAUACUUAAUAGUAUUAAAUAUUAGGUUGUUUGUUUUUGUAGUAUUUUAUUUCUAUUAAGUAUUAAAAAGUAAAAAAAUCAUUGUUUUAUUUUUUCUAUUUAGAAUUAGUAAAAAGUUUAUAAUAAGUCAUGAAAAAGUAAAAAAACAAACAACCUAAAUUCUAAAACUAAAUGGUUUUUAGCAAAAAGUCAAAAAAACAAACACCACCUAAGUCUGGUGGAACAGGAAUGAUAAACAAAUUGAAAAGAGUAACAGACUAAAAUAAAUGCUGACAUAUCUGAAAGUAAAUACUAGAAACAUGGAUAUAUAAAGUGCUUCAAAUAUAAGUGGAGAAGACAUCACGUUCAAAACUAAAUGUUUGAUCAUUUGGCUAAGUGGUAAAGCACAAGGAUGUAAAUAUAUUUCAUUAACAUAUUAAUUAUAAGCACUAGUUAGAACCUAAGGGAUGAAUUUAACAGUGACCAGUUGGCUUAUGGUUCUCCAGUAUGACUAAGAAAUACAGAACACCAG
rnacentral:lncRNA from 1 species